rnacentral:rRNA from 1 species
GAAAGCAUCUAAGCACGAAACUUGCCCCGAGAUGAGUUCUCCCUGAGACUUUAAGUCUCCUGAAGGAACGUUGAAGACGACGACGUUGAUAGGCCGGGUGUGUAAGCGCAGCGAUGCGUUGAGCUAACCGGUACUAAUGAACCGUGAGGCUUAACCUU